UUGAUCCUGCCAGUAGUCAUAUGCUUUCUCAAAGACUAAGACAUGCAAGUUUAAGUACAGGCUUUAAACAAAGUGAAACGCGAAUGGCUCAUUAAAUCAGUUAUGGUUCCUUAGAUCGUACUAUCCUACUUGGAUAACUGUGGUAAUUCUAGAGCUAAUACAUGCAGCAGAACUCAGACCUUCGGGAACGAGUGCUUUUAUUAGACCAAGACCAUCGGGCUUCGGCUCGACACCCAUGGCGACUCUGGAUAACUUUGAGCUGAUCGCACGAUCUGUAUCGGCGACGUUUCUUUUUAAGUGUCUGCCUUAUCAACUGUCGAUGGUAGGUUAUGCGCCUACCAUGGUCGUAACGGGUGACGGGGAAUCAGGGUUCGAUUCCGGAGAGGGAGCCUGAGAAACGGCUACCACAUCCAAGGAAGGCAGCAGGCGCGCAAAUUACCCACUCCCGGCAAGGGGAGGUAGUGACGAAAAAUAACGAUGCGGGACUCUUUUGAGGCCCCGCAAUCGGAAUGAGUACACGCUCGUAGUUGGAUCUCAGUUCGAGACUGGCGGUCCGCCGUUCGGUGGUUACUGCCAGGACUCAACAUCCUGCCGGUUUUCCCCUGGUGCUCUUCACUGAGUGUCUCGGGUGCCCGGCACGUUUACUUUGAAAAAAUUAGAGUGCUCAAAGCAGGCGUUUAGCCUGAAUAAUGGUGCAUGGAAUAAUGGAAUAGGAUCUCGGUUCUAUUGUGUUGGUUUUCGGAACACGAGGUAAUGAUUAAAAGGGACAGACGGGGGCAUUCGUAUUGCGACGCUAGAGGUGAAAUUCUUGGACCGUCGCAAGACGAACUACUGCGAAAGCAUUUGCCAAGCAUGUUUUCGUUGAUCAAGAACGAAAGUUAGAGGUUCGAAGGCGAUCAGAUACCGCCCUAGUUCUAACCAUAAACGAUGCCAACCAGCAAUCCGCCUGAGUUCCUCAAAUGACUCGGCGGGCAGCUUCCGGGAAACCAAAGUGUUUGGGUUCCGGGGGAAGUAUGGUUGCAAAGCUGAAACUUAAAGGAAUUGACGGAAGGGCACCACCAGGAGUGGAGCCUGCGGCUUAAUUUGACUCAACACGGGAAAACUUACCCGGCCCGGACACCGGAAGGAUUGACAGAUUAAGAGCUCUUUCUUGAUUCGGUGGGUGGUGGUGCAUGGCCGUUCUUAGUUGGUGGAGCGAUUUGUCUGGUUAAUUCCGAUAACGAACGAGACUCUAGCCUACUUAAUAGAGAACCGAUUUCCUUUCGUCGGUUACUCUUCUUAGAGGGACAAGCGGCGUUUAGCCGCACGAGACAGAGCAAUAACAGGUCUGUGAUGCCCUUAGAUGUCCGGGGCCGCACGCGCGCUACACUGAAGGAAUCAGCGUGUGUUCACCCUGGCCGAAAGGUCUGGGUAACCCGUUGAACCUCCUUCGUGAUAGGGAUAGGGGCUUGUAACUAUUCCCCUUGAACGAGGAAUUCCCAGUAAGCGCGAGUCAUAAGCUCGCGUUGAUUACGUCCCUGCCCUUUGUACACACCGCCCGUCGCUACUACCGAUUGAAUGAUUUAGUGAGGUCUUCGGACUGGUGCUCGGAGCGGCCCUCGGGUCGCGCCGGCGUACCGGAAAGAUGACCAAACUUGAUCAUUUAGAGGAAGUAAAAGUCGUAACAAGGUUUCCGUAGGUGAACCUGCGGAA
rnacentral:rRNA from 1 species